rnacentral:rRNA from 1 species
CGGUAAUACGGAGGGUGCAAGCGUUACUCGGAAUCACUGGGCGUAAAGGACGCGUAGGCUGUUUUGCAAGUCAGAUGUGAAAUCCAAUGGCUCAACCAUUGAACUGCAUUUGAAACUGCUAGACUAGAGUAUGGGAGGGGGAGAUGGAAUUAGUGGUGUAGGGGUAAAAUCCGUAGAUAUCACUAGGAAUACCUAAAGCGAAGGCGAUCUCCUGGAACAUUACUGACGCUAAGGCGUGAAAGCGUGGGGAGCAAACAGGAUUAGAUACCCUGGUAGUCCACGCCCUAAACGAUGAACACUAGUCGUCGCGAUGCUUGUCAUUGCGGUGAUGCACUUAACAGAUUAAGUGUUCCGCCUGGGGAGUACGGUCGCAAGAUUAAAACUCAAAGGAAUAGACGGGGACCCGCACAAGUGGUGGAGCAUGUGGUUUAAUUCGAAGAUACGCGAAAAACCUUACCUGGCCUUGACAUUGAUAGAAUCCUGUAGAGAUACGGGAGUGCCCUUCGGGGAGCUUGAAAACAGGUGCUGCACGGCUGUCGUCAGCUCGUGUCGUGAGAUGUUGGGUUAAGUCCCGCAACGAGCGCAACCCUCGUCCUUAGUUGCCAGCAGGUUAAGCUGGGCACUCUAGGGAGACUGCCUUCGCAAGGAGGAGGAAGGUGAGGACGACGUCAAGUCAUCAUGGCCCUUACGGCCAGGGCUACACACGUGCUACAAUGGGGCGUACAGAGUGUUGCAAUACCGCGAGGUGGAGCCAAUCACUUAAAGCGUCUCUCAGUUCGGAUUGUUCUCUGCAACUCGAGAGC